AACCCACUCAGGUUCCCUUCCACGCUGUAGAAGCUCUGUUCUUUCACUCUUCGCAAUAAAUCUUGCUGCUGCUCACUCUUUGGGUCCGCACCACCUUUAUGAGCUGUAACACUCACCGCAAAGAUCUGCAGCUUCACUCCUGAAGUCAGCGAGACCACGAACCUACCAGAAGGAAUAAACUCCAGACACAUCCAAACAUCAGAAGGAACAAACUCCAGACACACCAUCUUUAAGAACUGUAACACUCACCGUGAGGGUCCACAGCUUCAUUCUUGAAGUCAGUGAGACCAAGAACCCACCAAUACUGGACACAUUUUGGCGACCACGAAGGGACUAUCGCCUAUCACCAAGCGGUGAGACUAUCGCCUAUCACCAAGCGGUGAGUACCAUCGGACCCCUUUCGCUUGCUAUUCGUCCUAUUUUUCCUUAGAAUUUGGGGGCUAAAUACCGGGCACCUGUCGGCCAGUUAAAAGCGACUAGCGCAGGUGCUGGACUAAAGACAUGGGUGUGAGGCUUUCUGGGAAGGGGCUCUCUAACAAACCCCGACUUUUUGGAGUUGGGAGCGUUAGUUUGCCUGGAACCAGCUUCCGCUUUUCCUGUACUUCUGGGCUGAGUCGAGGGUUGACAGGAAAGCCAUUCAGCUCUGGGGUCUUGACAACAAGUUGGUUGAUCCUGUGGCCAUGAGCAGAACUCUCAAAGUCAUGUCGCCCAAGUGAGACUCGCCCAUCUAUCCUAUCUGUCCUGACCCUUGCCUCCUGGGUCCUAAUGCCUGUCAGACAAACUUCCUCUCGCCUCUCUUCUCCGAGGCUAGUCCCACCUCUAAAAACCACUCCCU
rnacentral:lncRNA from 1 species